rnacentral:rRNA from 1 species
UGGGGGCGUGCUUACCAUGCAGUCGACGAUGAAGCCCAGCUUGCUGGGUGGAUUAGUGGCGAACGGGUGAGUAACACGUGAGUAACCUGCCCUUAACUCUGGGAUAAGCCUGGGAAACUGGGUCUAAUACCGGAUAGGAGCGCCUACCGCAUGGUGGGUGUUGGAAAGAUUUAUCGGUUUUGGAUGGACUCGCGGCCUAUCAGCUUGUUGGUGAGGUAAUGGCUCACCAAGGCGACGACGGGUAGCCGGCCUGAGAGGGUGACCGGCCACACUGGGACUGAGACACGGCCCAGACUCCUACGGGAGGCAGCAGUGGGGAAUAUUGCACAAUGGGCGCAAGCCUGAUGCAGCGACGCCGCGUGAGGGAUGACGGCCUUCGGGUUGUAAACCUCUUUCAGUAGGGAAGAAGCGAAAGUGACGGUACCUGCAGAAGAAGCACCGGCUAACUACGUGCCAGCAGCCGCGGUAAUACGUAGGGUGCGAGCGUUAUCCGGAAUUAUUGGGCGUAAAGAGCUCGUAGGCGGUUUGUCGCGUCUGUCGUGAAAGUCCGGGGCUUAACCCCGGAUCUGCGGUGGGUACGGGCAGACUAGAGUGCAGUAGGGGAGACUGGAAUUCCUGGUGUAGCGGUGGAAUGCGCAGAUAUCAGGAGGAACACCGAUGGCGAAGGCAGGUCUCUGGGCUGUAACUGACGCUGAGGAGCGAAAGCAUGGGGAGCGAACAGGAUUAGAUACCCUGGUAGUCCAUGCCGUAAACGUUGGGCACUAG